ACUUUCCGUGUUGGCAGAGCGUCACGACCGAUUCGGCGGCGGUGAUAAGGCCCGGGGGAAGGUAGGUCGUGUGUUCUCGGAUGCACGACUGUUAUAGACCCUGGGAGAUGGCCGCUGCUGGACCGUGGAACGACCCGUCGUAUGGCAGUGGGGCUACCCGCGUGCGUUCGACUCGGGAGGACAGGCUUGCCGUGCUUCCGGACUGCGCUGCGUGGGCGGACUCUGCGAUAGCCCGCGACGUGUAAGGGUCAGUGACACACGAUCGGUAAUCCACCCGGCCCGUCUUGAAACACGGACCAAGAAGUCCAACAUGUGCGCGAGUCAUUGGGUCCUACGAAACCUAAAGGCGUAAUGAAGGUGAAGGCAGGUUCGGCCUGCUGAGGUGAGAUCCUGGCCCUCGGGCUGGGCGCAUCACCGGCCCGUCUGCAAGGCGGAGC
rnacentral:rRNA from 1 species